AGUGAACGCUGGCGGUAGGCCUAACACAUGCAAGUCGAACGGCAGCACAGUAAGAGCUUGCUCUUACGGGUGGCGAGUGGCGGACGGGUGAGGAAUACAUCGGACUCUACUUUUUCGUGGGGGAUAACGUAGGGAAACUUAAGCUAAUACCGCAUACGACCUACGGGUGAAAGCAGGGGAUCUUCGGACCUUGCGCGAUUGAAUGAGCCGAUGUCGGAUUAGCUAGUUGGCGGGGUAAAGGCCCACCAAGGCGACGAUCCGUAGCUGGUCUGAGAGGAUGAUCGGCCGCACUGGAACUGAGACACGGUCCAGGCUCCUACGGGAGGCAGCAGUGGGGAAUAUUGGACAAUGGGCGCAAGCCUGAUCCAGCCAUACCGCGUGGGUGAAGAAGGCCUUCGGGUUGUAAAGCCCUUUUGUUGGGAAAGAAAAGCAGCAGGUUAAUACCCCGCUGUUCUGACGGUACCCAAAGAAUAAGCACCGGCUAACUUCGUG
rnacentral:rRNA from 1 species